CCCUUAGAUGUCCUGGGCCGCACGCGCGUUACACUGAUGCAUUCAACGAGCUUAUAACCUUGGCCGAGAGGCCUGGGCAAUCUCGUUAACGUGCAUCGUGAUAGGGAUAGAUUAUUGAAAUUAUUAAUCUUGAACGAGGAAUUCCUAGUAAACGCAGAUCAUCAAUCUGCAUUGAUUACGUCCCUGCCCUUUGUACACACCGCCCGUCGCACCUACCGAUUGGAUGGUCCGGUGAAGCCUCGGGAUUGUGGUUCUUGCCGCUUUAUUGUGGCGUGACCGCGAGAACUUGUCUAAACCUUAUCAUCUAGAGGAAGGUGAAGUCGUAACA
rnacentral:rRNA from 1 species